rnacentral:rRNA from 1 species
UACGUAGGGUGCAAGCGUUGUCCGGAAUUAUUGGGCGUAAAGAGCUCGUAGGCGGUUUGUCGCGUCUGCUGUGAAAACUCGGGGCUUAACCCCGGGCCUGCAGUGGGUACGGGCAGACUAGAGUGCGGUAGGGGAGACUGGAAUUCCUGGUGUAGCGGUGAAAUGCGCAGAUAUCAGGAGGAACACCGGUGGCGAAGGCGGGUCUCUGGGCCGUAACUGACGCUGAGAGACGAAAGCUAGGGGAGCGAAUGGG